UACGUAGGUGGCAAGCGUUGUCCGGAAUUACUGGGUGUAAAGGGAGCGUAGGCGGUUUGGUAAGUUGAGUGUGAAAUCUACCGGCUUAACUGGUAGGCUGCGCUCAAAACUACCAAACUUGAGUGAAGUAGAGGCAGGCGGAAUUCCCGGUGUAGCGGUGGAAUGCGUAGAUAUCGGGAGGAACACCAGUGGCGAAGGCGGCCUGCUGGGCUUUUACUGACGCUGAUGCUCGAAAGCAUGGGGAGCAAACAGG
rnacentral:rRNA from 1 species